rnacentral:rRNA from 1 species
AUUGAACGCUGGCGGCAUGCUUUACACAUGCAAGUCGAACGGCAGCGCGGGCUUCGGCCUGGCGGCGAGUGGCGAACGGGUGAGUAAUACAUCGGAACGUGCCCAGUAGUGGGGGAUAGCUCGGCGAAAGCCGGAUUAAUACCGCAUACGACCUGAGGGUGAAAGCGGGGGAUCUUCGGACCUCGCGCUAUUGGAGCGGCCGAUGGCAGAUUAGCUAGUUGGUGGGGUAAAGGCCUACCAAGGCGACGAUCUGUAGCUGGUCUGAGAGGACGACCAGCCACACUGGGACUGAGACACGGCCCAGACUCCUACGGGAGGCAGCAGUGGGGAAUUUUGGACAAUGGGCGAAAGCCUGAUCCAGCAAUGCCGCGUGUGUGAUGAAGGCCUUCGGGUUGUAAAGCACUUUUGGCGGGAACGAAAAGGACUGUGCCAAUACCACGGUUCGAUGACGGUACCCGCAGAAUCAGCACCGGCUAACUACGUG